AUUGAACGCUGGCGGCAGGCCUAACACAUGAAGUCGAACGAGUGGCGGACGGGUGAGUAAUGUCUGGGAAACUGCCCGAUGGAGGGGGAUAACUACUGGAAACGGUAGCUAAUACCGCAUACCAUCGGAUGUGCCCAGAUGGGAUUGGCUAGUAGGUGGGGUAAUGGCUCACCUAGGCGACGAUCCCUAGCUGGUCUGAGAGGAGAACCAGCCACACUGGAACGGAGACACGGUCCAGACUCCUACGGGAGGAAGAAGUGGGGAAUAUUGCACAAUGGGCGCAAGCCUGAUGCAGCCAUGCCGCGUGUAUGAAGAAGGCCUUCGGGUUGUAAAGUACUUUCAGCGGGGAGGCGUUACCCGCAGAAGAAGCACCGGCUAACUCCGUGCCAGCAGCCGCGGUGAUUC
rnacentral:rRNA from 1 species